UCGAACAGACCUAAAACCUUAGCUCCUACACCAAAUUUAAAUUUUAAUCCAACAUCGAGGUCGCAAUCUUUUUUUUCGAUUAGAACUCUUUAAAAAAAUUACGCUGUUAUCCCUAAGGUAAUUUUAUCUUAUAAUCUUUACUUAAGGAUCAAUAAAUCAUAAAUUAAUGUAAUUAAUAAGAAAAAGUUAAUUAAAUUUUUCAAUCACCCCAAUUAAUUUAUUAACCUUUAAUUAAUAAAUACAAUACUUUUAAAUUAAUAAAAAUUUAAUAAUAAAACUCUAUAGGGUCUUCUCGUCUUCCAUAUAUAUUUAAGCUUUUUUACCUAAAAAUAAAAUUCUUUUAAAAUUAGAUAGAGACAGUCAUUCUUUCAUCAAACCUUUCAUUCCAGCUUUUAAUUAAAAAACUAAUUAUUAUGCUACCUUUGCACGGUCAAUAUACCGCAGCCAUUUAAUCUUCAUUGGGCAGGCCCGACUUUAAAUUAUUAUCAAAAA
rnacentral:rRNA from 1 species